AUGUGUAUUUUUGAUUUUGGGGUGGACUGUCCCUUUUGGACACAUGUGCAGCAGAUUUAGCUUUCUUAGAUACAGUGACCUCUAACGGCAUUUAGGUCACCCAACAAGACACAGCAGCUGAGUUUAGAACCACAGGUGAAGUUUUAAGUGAGGACACAGCAAUGAGGUUUGAAGGGUCAAUUCACCAGCAUUUUUUCAAUACUCUCUCCAGUGAUUUUGUAUCUAGGAUUUCUGCUUCUAACUCCAAUAGAAUGGAGGUGAAUAUAAUUUUAAUGGUGAUCACAGCAUUGAAAAUAACAAAUCAAAAUCUCUCUCCAGAAACAUCUGCAUAAUCCUCAGAACAAGCUGUUUUCUUUCAAAUUAAAUCGUCAGUAGAAAGUAAUUCCAAUGAAAACUUGUCUGUGGAUCACAAGCUGUAACCCGCCAUCAUUUCUGAUGGUUUUGUGGUAGUUUCAUAAUGAUAAGACCCAUAUUAUAAUUGAAAUAUUGAUUUCCUCCAUGUUACUGAUCUGCUCCAUACCAUUGCAACACACAAAUAGAAGAAAUAGGCUGCAGACAACUCACAUCAUCUGCCUUUCUUGACAGGCCAUAGAUUGUUUUCAUUACUAAAGUGUUUCUUUAAUGGAGAGUUGGCUCUGUGAAGACCUUGAUAUGAAUUCAUGUGUUGACAAUGUCAAAUAUGAAAACUUGGGCUGUGUUAUUAGGAUUGAUAGUUUGUGCUACGUACGUAAGAUGUUUGCCUCUGUACAAGUCUAACUAAUGUAACAUCUCAGGUCAGCAGCUGUUCUGCACCAUAGACUGCAGCUAAUUAACAGUUAGAUACGAGAAAGUGGGGGAAGGUACAGUGGAUAUGAUAAUCCCAUGGUGACAUACAGAGGUGAUUUGGGUUGACAAAGAGUGGGAAGAAAUGUAUGCACAUGUGUUGGCAGGCCGGAGCCGGCACCCUGUUGAUAUGGGUUGUUUGAUCAAUGCAUGGGGGUGACUCGCAUUUCCUCACUGACCAGCCGCUCUGAUCACACCUGAGAAUGGAAUGCAGCGGCCUGUGAAGAUCAAGAGGAAUGGGAAGUGUGAACUUAGGCAUUUACAUAGCAUUGUGUACCAGGAGGAGCUCAGGACAUAUAACCAGCUACUUUUGUAUUGCUGCUUCAGACAUAGCGGGGAGAUUGCCUGGAGAGGUCUCUGUGCUGUGUCUCCAGAUAUAUCUGUAUUUGUCUGUACUGUUAGAUUGUUUGUAUUGUUUGUAAUAAUCGUGAGGAUAUAAAUACUAGUUAAAAGACAAUUGUAGGUCUCGUGUGGAUCCCUUCUCAUCAACCAACUCGGAGAGAAAUUUUCUGACCUCGACAACAACAUCCCUUCAAAUUUUCAAGGCUGACCUUUAGUGAAUUGAUCCAAAACCUGUCUGUCAUAUAACUGAAUGCUCAAAAGUCAGAUGAAUUUAUGGGAUUGGAUGUCACAGAGGUAGUUGAAGAUGCAUGAGGCUUGACACUAGAGCUUUUCCUUUGUGAAUACGCUAUCUUCAUCAUCCUCAAUUUAAAUUUAUAUUAAGGAGGGGGAUUGUCUCUCGACCUAGGAGUUUGACGUACAGCGAGCAAUGAACUGAAUGUGUUUUAAUUGCUAAAUCAUUAACACAUUUUUUUAUGGUGCUGAGUGACAUGUUUAUCUACUACUAAAGUAACUAAUGGUCUGGUAAUGAGUUAACGUUAACUCUAAUAACCAACCGGUAAAGAAAACGUCGGUAAGUGUUAGCCAGGUCAGGUCAGUUAGCAUGCCGCAUUAGUUGCCUGUUCUGCCAGCUCGUGAAUCGCUAAACUUCACAAACAGCCGUCGUUAUUAGCAAGGUGAUGACGUGACUUUUUAUGCUAUUAGCACACUAAUAUUCUAUACUGGAGAUGGAAUGUAACUGGUCAGUUGACCUUGAUUCAUUCAUUCAUUUUGCUCAAUCAUCUGUUCAGUUUAAGAUAAGUCCAGAUAACACCGGUAAAUAUUCCAGACACAUACAGACAUUAUUUGUAUUUUAUGUCUCCUCGUUUCCCUCACUUGCGUCUUAUCGUCGCGUUAUGCAAGGAGAGAGGAAUCGAUGAAACUCGUUUUUAGAGAAAUGGGGGCUCAGUUCCAAUGUCCCCUGCCCUGCCCUAAACGCUUAACCCUGAACCUUGAACCCUAUGCUACUAGAUGUUACCUGUGACAUCACUGUAAGUAUGUGAGUACAGGAGGGUGUGUGGGCUCCAAACUCUGUUUGAUGGUCAGAGACACGUUUAUGCAUAGUAUAGUGUGAGGUUGAUAUUUCAGACUGUAUGUAGUUUAUUGAACUGGAGUAUUUAUUGUUGGCUUUCUGUUGAUUGGCAAAACCGUUCUGUUGGUCAACAUAUCUGAAUUCAGAAUCCUGCCAUUAUAAGACAAACAACUAGACUACACACACCUAGUGCUGGUUAACAACAUGUGUGUUUAUAAUUAAAAGGAAAAUGCUAACUCAUUCCAUUUUAUGUUUAUUUUUCUUUUUUGUAAUGCACAAGUACGCUGUAAUUGCUGUUUUAACAUCAUAAUGCAAUGCAUUGUGGCUUGUCCCUUUCAACAAAGUCUGCAGAGGUGCGGACAUAUGGAAGGUGUGCAGAAAAGACUGUAAAAGUCUGCUACAGAGCCCUCAAACACUUUGCUGAAUACACAGUGGCAGGAACUCGCGUCAAAGUCUUUGAGUGUGUGAGGGGUGGCAUUGGAACUGGGCUGAGAUGUCCUUUCCUUUAAACUAUCAUCUCAAGCGACGGCACAGCUGUAUCACUUGUCAUUCUACAAGUGUUAACAGCUAUGCAUGCAUUGGAGUUUGUAUUUGGACAGAUAAUGCACAUCACAUUAUCGGUCCAAAUAAUAAGGGUGUCCUCCAACAUGACAAAAGUGAAUGUUAAAUAUAAGUCUCUGCAUGUUUCCCCUUAAAUAAACAAAUGACAAGCAUCUGCACAUUCAUUAAAAGCCCGCAUUUUGUAUUUAUGUUGUGAACAGAUCCAUCAAACCACAGUUUGUAAACUGCUCAGACACUGCUGUGAUGUAGUAUCAGAGCAGACGGAUCAGCUGCAGUGCCCAAUGACUGAUUAGAAUGAAGGGGUGUGUCGGUCCAAUAAAAGACUUGGUCUUCUGUAUCCUCGCUCAUGUCUCCUCCGGGCAGCCUCUUCGCUUCUCCGACCGGAACUAAGGGAAUUGAGAUGUCCUUUGUGAUGGCGAACCAGAUUGAUUUCUAAAUCAACCGCGGAGCCGGGAGCGAGGUGACAUGAAAUAAGGCAAUUGAGGAGCACCUAUAGCUAAAUGAGGAAGUUACUGCAGUAUUUUAUAAUGAGAUAGUAUAAUUACACAUCAUUCUCGUUGGAAACAUCAGAAUCCAAUUCUUCCUUAUACUGACUGAUAAUAAUAAAAGAAUGAUUUUUUUAAAUAAUUUUUUUUAACUUUGCGAAUCAGCAAUUGUAACCGUAGCGUAAUGGCUUCUGAUUCUGGAGAGCAGAUAGUAAAAGAGAGAGAAGUGGACAAAGUUAGAGCAAUGAGUUGGCAAGCUGGGCCAGCUUUUGAUAUUAAGCAGGUUACCACUUUUUGAUAAAAACUCAGUGGACAUAGUUUUUGAAAUGUUGGUGAAAUUAGCAAUGGAAAAUGGCCUAAAGAAACAUGGCCUCUUUUUGAUGAGAGUGCUUUAGAGGGGAAAGAGAACGCUUGCAGCACUAGACAGUUGCACAAGUUUAUAAUACGAUGAUUUGAGGAAAGCAGUGCUUGGCGCAUGCAGUAGUGUUCCAGAAACCUACUGAAGGAAGUUUCAUGAACUUAAUCAACAACAUGAAGAGCCUUAUCAGCAUUUGUGGAGGAAACCAGAAGUGGCACUAGAUCGGUGGCUUGCUUCCUGUGAUGCUUGCGCUUACCAAAAGAUGUAAGACCUUAUUUUACUGGAACAGUUUAGGGUUGCCGUCACGUGAAAUAGAAUCAAUUUGAAUGAAUGUGAAGUAAGUAAAACGUGAAAAAGCUGAUGGAUAUGAGGUGGCUCACAGUGGUAGGACUAGUGAAGGUGUUCCCCAUACCCGAACAUAGCUCAUGUGGCUUUUGGUUAUGUGUGGAGUUUAUCAGCAUUUUGUUCGCAACUUUGCUUCCAUUACACCACCAAGACUGACCAAUCUGUUGCGGAAAGGUUGGAAGUGGGUAUGAUCUGAAUAGUGUCAGGAGGCUUUAGUUCAGAUCAGGGCUAUUUCGUCCAGCACCCCAGUACUGAUAGCUCCCAACCUUAUCUUGCUAUGUGAAUGUGUGUUUUGUAGGUGACUGAUCUGUCUUCUUCAGCUUGGGGAGGAUGGUCACGAGUUGGACAAUAAAUGAUAACCUACAUCCCUAAGUAUUUGGUUAGUUUCUGUCUGAGUCUAUUGUUUACCUAAAUGAACUGAAACCAACAGCAAGCUCAUGUAACGUUUGGCAUCCCAAGAAGAGGACCAGAGCGGGCUGGCCCGUUCAGGCGGUCAAGUGAGCGACACUGCGGAUGACGACUGACGCCACUGCGGACAGUGGGCUGUGCUCACCAGGGUUCAGUACCCUAUUAUCUAUGAUAUCAGUCAAGUCCAGGAAGAUCUCCUCUUUGACGGGCAGCAAAGGUAACAAACACUGCACGCACACACAAGCACAGCUGUUGCUUUUGCUUUUUAUGAUUAGCUAAAUGUAACUAUUUGAAAUAGUAAUGUGCUGCUGCCAUGUAGGUGGAGUCAUCUGAAUGUGUCAUGGUGAAAAGAUAAUGCUGAACAUGUUGUUGCUCCCAUGAAUGGAAAAUGUCCCUAUUAACCUAGUAAUUACAGUAACCUGUGGGGAUGAAAAUUGUUUGAGUUACAUAUUGAGAUUUUUUUGAAUGACAUAUUUAAUGAGCAUUUUUAAUGUUAGGAAUAACCAUACCCUCCCCAAAUUCAGAUCUAAGUCCAAUAUAUACAGUUUUUUUUUUAUUUGGUGAUACACAAUACAACAGGUGAACAUUGACAGCAUACAUAUACAUUGACACAAUUGAUACGUCCCUAAGACACAUUGCAUUACAUCACCAAGACACUACAACAUAAUGCUAAGACUAACAACAACAAACAGUAGAGGUAGUGGCAGAGGUAUAAAAUACAGUGGGUAAGCUUGUAAGUGAAUGUGUGUGUGUGUGUGUGUGUGUGUGUGUGUGUGUGUGUGUGUGUGUGUGUGUGUGAGCGAGUGUAUGUGUGCAUGCCAGGGAACUGUGGAGAGAAGAAAGGCGAUGGGAUGCGAUCAUGGGUUUGGUCGUGUGUGUGUGUGUGUGUGUGUUUGUGUGUGUAUCUGUUAGGGAUGGGACGAUAUACGAUUUUAUCGUGGAUCGGGAUAAAAAGUUGAUUGUGGUGAAUUUCCAUUAUCAGGAUAGUUGUGAAUCAGGAUAAUUGUGAAUAUCCUCACAUGAAUGACUUGAAAAGACCAAUGCCAAUGCCAGUUGGACUUUAUUUUUGUUAAAGGAUAAUUCCUGUAUUUCUUAAGUCAGGGGUAAAUUAUAUAUUAGAUUAGAUUCAACUUUAUUGUCAUUACACAUGUACAAAUACAAGGCAACAAAAUGCAGUUUAAAGAUAGAGCCUGAUUUUAAAAAUACAGGAAUUAUCAUGCAACAAACAAGCAGCAACCUCUGGGUCUAAAAAAUUAAGCCAACCCAGAAGUGCCAAAAACUGCAAUUCACUGAAUGACCACUUGAGGCUGGCUCCAAAUGGGAGUCAAUCCCCAUGGACCCCCAUGUUAAAAUGCCCAACUUCAUAGCAGAAAUUUUGAAAUCAUAGCAGUUUUGGUCUCUAUAGUUAAUUUCCCCCUUCAUGACAACUGUGAGGGGGGUUGAUUUUUUUAUAACUCACCUGUUUAAAUUAUAUUAAGACUAAAAGUUCUGCAUUAAGGGCAUGGCCACUUUGAGUGACAGGCGGGGAUUGCUCAUGCCAUCACAGCUAGUUGUCUGCUGUCUGCUAGCCCGUAACCUCAGCUAAUUGACCAUCCAAGAAGUCUGUGCUCCAGUUUUUUCGGUGAGUGAAAUUCUAGUAUUAUUGCAGGUAAUUAGUAGGUUUCUGUUAUACAGUCUUGUUAGCCUAGCUCGUUAAUGAGCUAAUUAGCCAGCAAAUGAAUUAACAUUAGGUUAGCCUUUGAGCAAGACGCCCUGUGCUAACGUUGCUAACUUAAUGGGAGCUGGCCACAAUUAUUAAACCGGCAUGCACCAAAGUCAAAGCUCGGCUAUAGGUUGAGGUUCCCGAGUUAGGCAAGGCUAGAUUAGUUAAGGCGGGGAAUUAAGAGUGCAACAGCCGCUUCUCAGUUUGUGUCGAUAGUUGACAACUAAUCAACUGAUCAUUGCAGUUCUAUUACUAAGGCAUUUUAAGCUUAUUACACUCCAGAAAUUUGACAUAUAACAUUACGCCUGUAUUUCAGGAGGAAUUGUGCAAAGUAGCGUAACAUUUACUAACAUAGACUAUAUUGAAAAUAUGUUUUAAUUAUGUGUGAUUUCAGUAAAACUUACACUUACAGAACUUGCAGAUUUAUGUCAAUCGUGUAUGAGUGAAUGUGGCUUGAAAAAACUAUGCAUUUGACUGUCACAUGAAAAAGCUUCAAAAAUAAGCUUAAAUAAGAAUAGACAAUGCAACAGAUAAAAUAUGAGAAGUGUGAUGUCCACCACCUUUUUUGUUUUAGCUAAAAUAAAUUGAUUAUGACCUGUUGAACACUGAAAUAAUUUGAGUUGUAUUGUUUGCUUGAAAAUAAAUCUGUGAAAGAGGUAACCUAACAAUAUAUUACUUUAUAUAUCUUUUUGUCUGUGUAAAGUUUUCCUCUAGGUGAUCCAGACAGGCUGGACCAGUGGAUGUUCAACAGGAGAACACAGAACUGGACUAACAACACUUCUCGACUAUGCAGUGAACACUUUGAGAAUCAUCACUUCAGCACUGACUGUGCCAGAGGAGCUGAUUGCAGUAUCCAACCAGAUCUGGAGCACCUGGGCGCAGUGCUCUACAGGAUAUAAAAGUCCCAUCUUCCACUGUGGCUCGCUCUCUUCCCUGCCAGUGCCUGCACCCUACCUUACCUGAGAAUUUUGUUUUACUUUUAACACCUUAUCUUACACUAUCCACACACAUCCACAUGAACACUACUGAUUUCACUCACUAACACACCUCAUAUCCAAAGUUACAGUUCAGUUUAUUUUCUUUAUUACAAUAAAUAACUUGUAUGUAUUGCA